rnacentral:rRNA from 1 species
GUCCAUGGUCUAUGCCACCCUGAACGUGCCCGAUCUCGUCUGAUCUCAGAAGCUAAGCAGGGUCGGGCCUGAUUAGUACUUAGAUGGGAGACCACCUAGGAAGACUAGGUGCUGUAGUCA